rnacentral:rRNA from 1 species
UACCGUUAAUUUCUGCUAAACAUAUACAUGCAAGUAUCUGCGCCCCAGUGUAAAUGCCCCAACGCUCUUAUUAACUAGACAAAGGGAGCGGGCAUCAGGCUCGCCCAUUGCUGCAGCCCAAGACGCCUUGCUUAGCCACACCCCCACGGGUACUCAGCAGUAAUUAGUAUUAAGCAAUAAGUGAAAACUUGACUUAGUUAUAGCAGCACUCAGGGUUGGUAAAUCUUGUGCCAGCCACCGCGGUCACACAAGAGACCCAAAUUAACUGUCACACGGCGUAAAGAGUGGUACCAUGCUAUCCUGACAACUAAGAUCAAAAUACAGCUAAGCUGUCAUAAGCCCAAGAUGUAUUUAAAAACACCUCCAAGAUGAUCUUAGCAGCCCCGACUAAUUAAACUCCACGAAAGCUAGGACACAAACUGGGAUUAGAUACCCCACUAUGCCUAGCCCUAAAUCUUGAUACCUUCCAUCACCAAAGUAUCCGCCUGAGAACUACGAGCACAAACGCUUAAAACUCUAAGGACUUGGCGGUGCCCCAGACCCACCUAGAGGAGCCUGUUCUAUAAUCGAUAACCCACGAUGCACCCGACCACUCCUUGCCAAAGCAGCCUAUAUACCGCCGUCGCCAGCUCACCUCGCCUGAAAGAACAACAGUGAGCAUAAUAGCCCCAACCCCGCUAACAAGACAGGUCAAGGUAUAGCCUAU